GAUGAAAUGACCGAAGUUUAGGUGGUAAAUUGUAAAUUUACUUAUGAAAAAUAUUUUUCUUUCAUCA
rnacentral:tRNA from 1 species